ensembl:lincRNA Gm12292 predicted gene 12292
AUCUCCUGUUGAGGCUAUCAGAGACUCAGUAGGGGGAAAUGGUCCUGAAGGUGCGGCAGGAAAUGGCUGACCCCUCACCCUGCCCCUGCAGUGACCUCAACCCUGCUCCUGAGGACCACCCUCCCCGCUGCCUAAGGCGGACCCAUGAUCACCUCUCCAGGUUGGCCGCCAAACACCAGAGGAUGAAGCGCGAACGCAGCGGUUACUGCAAUCCAGUUCUUUCAUUCAGAAGGUGAAGGUCACUUAAGCUUUCAUUGUUGCCUUCAAGUUUGUUCGAGAGAGAAUGGAUAAUCAAUAUUGUCAGCACAGAAGUCCAAUCUGUCCAGAACUAGAGCUUGGUCUAGUACAGACUAAAGAUAAAAGAAAAAGAUGUGUAGCAUGUCCAACAAUGGGAAGAAAAUUUCCAAGGUCUUCUAGAAAUAGAAAUUUUUUUUUCUACUUGGUCUAUUUGUGUGGUCUUGGCUUUCCAAAAGGGACUCAAGCUCUGAGUGCAGAUUCACAGCAAGUUCUAUAGUCUCUGUUCAACCCCUCUCUCUGCUUACCAGGUCUCAGGGCAGAGCCCUGGAGAGGCCCUUCAAUGAAUACUUACGGAAUUGCACACUAGCCCAGGCAUUUGGCUUGUCCUUUACAUUUUAAUGUUUCAGUUUUACAUCUUGAUUGAUCCACUCCAUCCUUCAUCAUUCUCAGCUCUUACCCUACUGCUCAUGGCUGAGCUGUGAUGUACUGGGAAUGUCUGCGUUUAAUACCUAUGUCAACAACCCUGUCUAGCAUCUCGGAUCACAGUAAGAAGAAACAAAGGCAUCUUGAGAAAAAAAAUACAUAAAAAAAUAUGUAAAUACACACACACACACACACACACACAUAUAUGUGUGUGUGUGCUGUGCCAUAGGCAUGAUCCUCACACUAAAUAAACAAGUUAAUAAGAUGUAAUAAAAAAAUUAAACAACAGGUUUGAUAUCAUGGUGGNNNNNNNNNNNNNNNNNNNNNNNNNNNNNNNNNNNNNNNNNNNNNNNNNNNNNNNNNNNNNNGCUGGCCUUGAACUCAGAAAUCCGCCUGCCUCUGCCUCCCGGGUACUGGGAUUAAAGGUGUACAUCACCACACCCGGCUUGAAAAUAGUUUUUGAACACAUUAAAAAAUGUCUUUGACUUUUCCUAGGAGAGAAACGCAUCAGAGAAGUUAGAUUAACUCAGCAGGUAUAAUAAUAAGCUCAUACAAAUUGAAGUAAAAUACAAAAAAGUAGGGACAUUAAUGUGAGACCAGAAUGUUUUCAAGUCUAGAACAUUGAUUAAUUUGAACAUGCAGUAAAAUCUACAGGCGUUACAUUAAAACCACAGCUGCAAAGAGAACCUCGAAAGUUCUUACCCUGUUCUAAACUACAAAGACUCUGAGAAAACAUUAUGGGUUGAUUGGGGUUUUUUUGUUUUGUUUUGUUUUUUGCUUUUUUAUCAUUUUUGCAACAAACUUAGAAAACAACUGCAAAAGGGACACUCUGAAAUCCACAGAGGCAGAAAAGUGAAGAUGUUUUCUGAAGUAGCUUGAAGAAGAGAAACAGUGCUUGUUUUAUCAAUGGGGGUCACAUUCAGCCACCUUAUCUUCUUCCCCUGCACCCUAGAUCACCCCAAAGCAGCAGAGUCAUAUGCAAACCAAGAUCACCUUAUCAGCGAAGUCCAUAAUUGCAAGGGCUGAUGUGGGUGUGAUGGCUAAUGUUGGUUGUCGACUUGGCACACUUGGGAAGAGGGAACCUCGUCUGAAAAUUGCCUUCAUCAGACCUGUUUGUGGGACAUGAGUGUUAGUUGUUGGAGGAGGGAUUAGUCCACUAUGGGUGGUGCCACCCUUAGGCAGAUAAGUUUGGGAUUUAUAAGGAGGGAAGCUGAGCAUGAGUCUGGGAGCCAGGCAGUAAGCAGCACUUCUUCAUGGCUUCUGCAUUAGCUCCUGCCCUGAGUUCCUGGCCUGACUUCCCUCAGUGAUGGACUGUAGCUUGAGAACCGUAAGAUGAAAGAAAACCUUUGCUCUUUGGACAAAAGACAAGUACAACAAUAUCUCUCAAGGCAAAGUGAGGCUCGCUGCAAAAUCCUCCUUUUGGGUGUUAGAGCAGAGUACCCAUUCUUUGUUUCAGUCUUUUUGUCUGAAUUCCUAUUGAACAGUACCUAAUGCCCUCCAAGGAGAUGAGAGACCUCAAAGUGAACAGGGAGAUUCUGUGUCAGCGCGGCAGGACAGCAGCACAUGAGGGACUGUGCAAAUACUUAUGCCGUCAUACUUUCUCACUAAAUAAGAAGAAUUAAAAUAACUCACUCAUUUAUUUAACAACAGCAAAAACCUAGAAAAAUAACAAUCGAAUGAACAAACAACAAC